CGACCGGCUUCCCCCGCCACAGUCCGGCCCCGACAGGACGGGAUGGAGACAACGCAGGGGCCCGGAGGGCGGAAUGGCGGCGGCAGAAGCUGCUGCUGCUGCUCUCGGGGAGUCCAGAAAAUCAAAUUCUGAAUGUUGGUUUUAAGUCUUUCCCGUCUUCAAGUGACUUCCCAAAGUCACGUAGCAGAAUCGUGGAGCAGUCACCUCCUUGGAAAGAUUGCAGACUCUUCCCCUAAGGGCAAGUGACAACUGUAAUUUACUCUCAAAAUCAGGAGAAGUGGGAUUUUUAGUCUGAAUGAUAAAAACAAUGUGGCCUAGUAGAAAAAAAAUGGGCCUUGGAAUCAAAAGACUGGGUUCUAAUCCUGGCUCCACCACUUGU